rnacentral:rRNA from 1 species
AGCGUAGGCGGCAUGAUAAGUUAGAUGUGAAAGCCCGGGGCUUAACCCCGAGGAUUGCAUUUAAAACUAUCAAGCUAGAGUACAGGAGAGGAAAGCGGAAUUCCUAGUGUAGCGGUGAAAUGCGUAGAUAUUAGGAAGAACACCAGUGGCGAAGGCGGCUUUCUGGACUGAAACUGACGCUGAGGCUCGAAAGCGUGGGGAGCGAACA